AUUGAACGCUGGCGGCAGGCCUAACACAUGCAAGUCGAGCGAGCGGCGGACGGGUGAGUAAUGUCUGGGAAACUGCCUGAUGGAGGGGGAUCACUACUGGAAACGGUAGCUAAUACCGCAUACCAUCAGAUGUGCCCAGAUGGGUUUAGCUAGUAGGUGGGGUAACGGCUCACGUAGGCGACGAUCCCUAUCUGGUCUGAGAGGUUGACCAGCACCACUGGAACUGAGACACGGUCCAGACUCCUACGGGAGGUAGCAGUGGGGAAUAUUUCACAAGGGGCGCAAGCCUGAUGCAGCCAUGCCGCGUGUGUGAAGAAGGCCUUCGGGUUGUAAAGCACUUUCAGCGGGGAGGCGUUACCCGCAGAAGAAGCACCGGCUAACUCCGUGCCAGCAGCCGCGGUAAUAC
rnacentral:rRNA from 1 species